GGGUGGUUAGCUCAGUGGUAGAGUGCACGUUUAGCAUGCAUGAAGUCCUGGGUUCAAUUCCCAGACCUCCAU
rnacentral:tRNA from 1 species